AUGUAACCGGCAGACUAACUGCUGUACCAAGUUUGUCCUCCUGUUCUCACCGUAGCUCCUCUCCUAUCGGUCACGCCCUCCAGUUAGCUUGCAGGUGGCUAUGUACUCAUUAGCGUCAAUGGCACUUUCUAUAAGACCGGCACCGGAGGUGGGCUAGUAAGUGAUCCCUAGGCUCCGUACGUCCUCCCUACACUGUGUUCGCUGUGCUGUCACCUAUGAAAGGUAUUUGGCUGUGUACCAGACGCUUCCGGGUAGUGUUUUGUUGAUCUACCGAAGGUCUUGACUGAAAAGACGCCGUGUACGCCCAGGUUGCACUUUCUAUUGGGAG